CACGUAGGGUCCGAGCGUUGUCCGGAAUUACUGGGCGUAAAGCGUGCGCAGGCGGUUGGGUCAGUCGCUGGUGAAAGCCCCACGCUCAACGUGGGAAUGGCCAACGAGACGGCCCGACUGGAGGCAGGGAGAGGCCGGUGGAAUCCGGGUGUAGUGGUGAAAUGCGUAGAGAUCCGGAGGACACCAGAGGCGAAGGCGGCCGGCUGGACCUGACCUGACGCUGAGGCACGAAGGCGUGGGGAGCGAACGGGG
rnacentral:rRNA from 1 species